UGAUUUUGGUAUUUACAAAAAACUUGGUGAUUCACUGAGGGAAGAUCCGAGUCUUCGUUGCAAUAAAACAGAAUUUUGCCUUGACAAAGUUCGAUCAGGAAAUUACGUUUAUAUUCACGGAAAACCGAUCGUCCAGAAAAUUAUUGCCAUGGAUCGAGAGCGGACAGGAUCAUGCCAUUUUACUGUUGCUUCAGAAACUUUUAUGGCGGGCCAUCUUUAUUGGUUGUUGUCAAAGAAAAGUCCCUACACAGAAACCACUAAUCGUGGAAUAUUAAGGAUGCAGGAAACUGGUUUAUUGGGGAAGUGGAUGGAAACAUUCAACCCUGAAGGGACAAAAUGUUUAUUGAAGAAAAACGCGGAGAAAAACGGAAUCUCUCGAAUUAGCCUACAAAAUUUGACAAGCGCGUUUAUUCUAUUGAUAUUUGGAAUUAGCGGUUCAAUUCUCAUCUUUUUGGUCGAAUUCAUGAUGAAUCGCCUGUUCGGGCGCGAUUCUUCUCGCAAAAUUUCUCACUGAGGGGUUGCCAAUUUUUUUUCCGUGAUUCACUUAUCCGGAAAAUUGAAAAGCCGAAAAUCUAGAGGAUUAAUAGAAUUUUUAGAAAUUUAAGAGAAAAUUUAAAACA